rnacentral:pre_miRNA from 1 species
CAGGGAUGGGGGCUCAGAAGGCAGCACUCUGGGGCAUCUCCACCAUGGCCUGGGCUCUGUUCCUUGUCAACCUCCUCACUCAGGGCACAGGUGA